UACGGAGGAUGCGAGCGUUAUCCGGAUUUAUUGGGUUUAAAGGGUGCGUAGGCGGGCUUUUAAGUCAGCGGUAAAAAUUCGGGGCUCAACCCCGUCCGGCCGUUGAAACUGGGGGCCUUGAGUGGGCGAGAAGAAGGCGGAAUGCGUGGUGUAGCGGUGAAAUGCAUAGAUAUCACGCAGAACCCCGAUUGCGAAGGCAGCCUUCCGGCGCCCUACUGACGCUGAGGCACGAAAGUGAGGGGAUCGAACAGG
rnacentral:rRNA from 1 species